CUCUUCAGGGCAGGGUGUAAUUCCCGACCGGCGGUAAAGUCCGCGAGCCGUUUUUGGCAUGACCCGGUGCAACUCCGGGACCGACAGUAAAGUCUGGAUGUGAGAAGGU
rnacentral:ncRNA from 1 species